rnacentral:rRNA from 1 species
UGGGGAUUAUUGGACAAUGGGCGAAAGCCUGAUCCAGUCAUGCCGCGUGUGUGAAGACGGUCUUCGGAUUGUAAUGCACUCUAAGUUGGGAGGAAGGGCAGUAAGCGAAUACCUUGCUGCUUUGACGUUCCCGACAGAAUAAGCACCGGCUAACUCUGUGCCAGCAGCCUCGGUAAUACAGAGGGUCCAAGCGUUAAUCGGAAUUACUGGGCGUAAAGCGCGCGUAGGUGGUUCGUUAAGUUGAAUGUGAAAGCCCCGGGCUCAACAUAGGAACUGCAUCCAAAACAGGCGGGCUAGAGUAGGGCAGAGGGUGGUGGAAUUUCCUGUGUAGCGGUGAAAUGCGUAGAUAUAGGAAGGAACAACAGUGGCGAAGGCGGCCACCUGGGCUCAUACUGACACUGAGGUGCGAAAGCGUGGGGAGCAAACAGG